rnacentral:rRNA from 1 species
CCUACGGGAGGCAGCAGUGGGGAAUAUUGGACAAUGGGGGGAACCCUGAUCCAGCCAUGCCGCGUGUGUGAAGAAGGCCCUCGGGUUGUAAAGCACUUUCGUUGAGGAAGAACGCCUGGUGGUUAAUACCCAUCAGGAAGGACAUCACUCACAGAAGAAGCACCGCCUAACUCCGUGCCAGCAGCCGCGGUAAUACGGAGGGGGCGAGCGUUAAUCGGAAUUACUGGGCGUAAAGCGCGCGUAGGUGGCUUGAUAAGCCGGUUGUGAAAGCCCCGGGCUCAACCUGGGAACGGCAUCCGGAACUGUCAAGCUAGAGUGCAGGAGAGGAAGGUAGAAUUCCCGGUGUAGCGGUGAAAUGCGUAGAGAUCGGGAGGAAUACCAGUGGCGAAGGCGGCCUUCUGGACUGACACUGACACUGAGGUGCGAAAGCGUGGGUAGCAAACAGGAUUAGAUACCCCGGUAGUC